AACUUGUGGUUGUGUACAGGUGAGUGUUCCUUUGUACGUGAUUCGUGCGGAUGGACAAAUGGGACAAAAGAGGAGCAAUCUUCUCCACAGGUCGAAGGUCUUGUUGGUAGCGGGGUUUCUGACCCUCUCCAGUUUCAGGUAAAUGAAGGAUCUCUUACAUGGAGGUUGGCGUCCUCUUCCACUCGUCCAGCCAACCUACAAGAUCACUCCUUCGGAGCUCCAGCCGGUUAUGCUUUCUUCGACAUUUUCAACCAGAAUGUGGUUCAAACCCCCAUCCUCCGAAGUCCCCAGUUCGAGUCUGCUCUUGUGGACAGCCGUUGCAUCAGCUUUUGGUUCACACCAUUCGGUCGAGGAAAGUCUACGACCCUGAGUGUGGUUCGUGUAGAGACAACGGAGCCUGAGACUCGCGACGUGUUGUGGCGCUUUUCCACCCAUGGUUACGACACUAGUCACCCCGAGUGGAACUACGGUCAAACUAAAGUAAAGGCUGAUUCGACAUACAGGGUAAGUUUGAGGGAGUA